GCGAGUGCAUUGGAAACAAUGAUGACAGACAGCAACAAUCUAGGGAGGGGAAAAUGCAAGAAAAGAGGAUGCAGAGAGAACUAUAUAGGGUUUUAUCCCUUUAUUUAUUUAUUUAUUUUUGGGUCUCUACCUCUUUCUCCGUCCUCCAUGGCUUUGACGGUGGAUUACAUAUCAUCGACAAGAAUUGCCUGGACGACUGAUUCAUGACACCCAAAGGCUAACGGACCACUAUCAUUGAGUCGAAGAGACCAUCUUUCACAUGAAACAUCUCUACAAGCUUACCCCAUUUCUGUCUCGUCAGACCAUUGGAUCAGUACCAUCACGCCAUUUCCAUACAGGGGCUUCUAAUACAUUAAAAGGCAAGAAAUAAGGGAAAGCAAACAAAAAUGAGGUUGCUUCUGUUUCUAACUUUAACUAUCAACUAAAGUUAAUAGGGGUUUCUCUAAUUAACUUUAGUUCAUAAAUUUUAUUAUUUAAGUAGUGGUUAAUUUUUCCAUUGUGAUUCUGUGGGUGGUUUUCAUUCCAUUGUGAUUCAUGGUUCAUUAUCUUAUUAAUAAAUGUGAUUCAUGUUUCUAAUUUUUUUAUGAUUCAUGUUUCUUAUGUUUAUAAUUUUCUUAUGAUUUUGUGAGUGAAAGGGUGAUUAUUUGAUUCAUGGUGUUGGAAGGAAUACUUUUAUUUUGUUCAGGUGAUGCUAUUGAUGUUGUAAGGACUAUUUUUUAUUUUAGGUUACUCCACUCAAGAAAAACUUCCAAAAGUGAGGUAGUGGGAUUUAGACUGAAAUAACUAUAUAAAAAGACACCCAGAAGGAGAAGGAGAAGAAGAAGAAUUCGGUGUUAGACCAGAGUUUUUACAUUGAGAGUGAAGAAAAAGUUGAGUAGAAUGAAUUUAACAAAGGCCAAGAUGAUGGGAAUGAUUAAGAUUCUUCCAAUUAUUCAAAUGAAAACCAGCAGUAGAGCAAAACCAAUUCUCUCAACACGACAUGGCGUCAAAGUUACAGAACAUCCCUCCCAAGUUUCAUUCAAUGAUGUGAAAUCCAAGUCAACAGGUUGUGUGUUUGGAAAGUGGUUCUCGAAUUUGGGAGCUAGUAUUUCAGGACUAGCAAUUUAUCUUUCUGCUCUUGAGCAUGAGCUAGCAGCCAGAAAAUUUGUAGUCUUUGGUCUUUGGGUAUCGUCUAUGUCCAUGAGUUUCUAUCUAUGUUGUUUAAAAAAUUCAUUUUUUUUCUCUUUUUCUUUUUCCACUUGUGUUGACUUUUACCAUGUUAAAUUUGCUAUUUUGGUAUCUUCUAUUUCCAUGGAUUCGUAUUUCUUUGCUUUUAAGCUUUUGUUUGCAUGAAGCAUUUUUAA